AACGAACGCUGGCGGCGUGGAUAAGACAUGCAAGUCGAACGGGACCCGUAGCAAUACGGGUUCAGUGGCGCAAGGGUGCGUAACACGUGGGUAAUUUGCCGAGAAGUGGGGGAUAGCUCGCCGAAAGGCGAAUUAAUACCGCAUGUGACCAGGGACGACAUCUUCCCAACGUCAAAGCCGGGGCAACCUGGCGCUUCUUGAUAAGCCCGCGGCCUAUCAGCUAGUUGGUGGGGUAACGGCUCACCAAGGCAUUGACGGGUAGCUGGUCUAAGAGGACGACCAGUCACACUGGAACUGAGACACGGUCCAGACACCUACGGGUGGCAGCAGUCGAGAAUUUUUCUCAAUGGGGGAAACCCUGAAGGAGCGACGCCGCGUGGAGGAUGAAGGUCUUCGGAUUGUAAACUCCUGUCAUUUGAGAACAAGUGUGGCCGAGUAACUACCGGUCACUUGAUAGUAUCAGAAGAGGAAGAGACGGCUAACUCUGUGCCAGCAGCCGCCGUAACAC
rnacentral:rRNA from 1 species